CACGUAGUUAGCCGGGGCUUCUUACUCAGGUACCGUCAUUUUCUUCCCUGCUGAUAGAGCUUUACAUCACGAAUGGCUUCUUCACUCACGCGGCGUUGCUGCAUCAGGGUUUCCCCCAUUGUGCAAUAUUCCCCACUGCUGCCUCCCGUAGGAGUUUGGGCCGUGUCUCAGUCCCAAUGUGGCCGUUCACCCUCUCAGGCCGGCUACUGAUCGUCGCCUUGGUGGGCUUCUACCCCGCCAACCAGCUAAUCAGACGCGGAUCCAUCUUACACCACCGGAGUUUUUCACACUAAGCCAUGCGGCUCCGUGCGCUUAUGCGGUAUUAGCACCUAUUUCUAAGUGUUAUCCCCCAGUGUAAGGCAGGUUAUCCACGCGUUACUCACCCGUCCGCCACUAAGUUACGAAUCACUAGGUUUCAUCGUAACUCCGUUCGACUUGCAUGUGUUAGGCACGCCGCCAGCGUUCAUCCUGAGCCAGGAUCGAAACUCU
rnacentral:rRNA from 1 species